rnacentral:rRNA from 1 species
GAAAGUAACCCUUAACCAGGUUCUUGACCAUCCCCUGCAAAGCUAUGGAGACAUAGUGGAGGUUUAUCAGGGAGACAGGUGGUGCAUGGUUGUCGUCAGCUCGCGUCGUGAGAUGUUGGGUUAAGUCCCGCAACGAGCGCAACCCUUAUUUGCUAGUUACCAUCAUUAAGUUGGGGACUCUAGCGAGACUGCCAGUGAUAAACUGGAGGAAGGUGGGGAUGACGUCAAAUCAUCAUGCCCCUUAUGACCUGGGCUACAAACGUGAUACAAUGGCUGAAACAAAGGGCAGCGAAGGAGCGAUCUGGAGCGAAACCCAAAAAAGCAGUCUCAGUUCGGAUUGAAGUCUGCAACUCGACUUCAUGAAGUCGGAAUCGCUAGUAAUCGCGGAUCAGAACGCCGCGGUGAAUACGUUCUCGGGGUUU